rnacentral:rRNA from 1 species
UACAGAGGUCUCAAGCGUUGUUCGGAUUCAUUGGGCGUAAAGGGUGCGUAGGUGGCGCGCUAAGUCAGGUGUGAAAUUUCGGAGCUUAACUCCGAAACUGCAUUUGAUACUGGCGUGCUUGAGGACUGGAGAGGAGACUGGAAUUCAUGGUGUAGCAGUGAAAUGCGUAGAGAUCAUGAGGAAGACCAGUGGCGAAGGCGGGUCUCUGGACAGUUCCUGACACUGAGGCACGGAAGGCCAGGGGAGCAAACGGG